rnacentral:lncRNA from 1 species
AGCCAUAAAGCAGACUGUUGUGAGGAAUAAACAAGUGAUAAGAAGACACCUGGCCCGUCUUCAGGCUGUAGAUUCUGAAAUAUGAAUGAAGGGAUGUGAAAGUGAUGGGCUCUGUCCUUACACCCAGCCCCAGUGGGAGCUUGGGCAGGGAGUGGGAGGAUGAGAAACGUCUUCAUUUUACACAACAAAGUGCUUCUCCAAGCUUCUGUACCUACUGUAUCUGUCAACAUUUCUGGAGGAUAGGGCUUUGUGAUUUGCAUUUUAUUUUAUUUUUGUAUUGAAGUAUAGUUGAUUUACAAUGUUAUGUUAAUUUCUGCUGUGAUUCAAUAUGCAUAUAUAGUUAUAUAUAUACACUCUUAAAAUAUUCUUUUCCAUUAUGGUUUAUCAAAGGACAUUAAAUACAGUUCUCUGUGCUAUACAGUAAGACCUUGUUGAUUAACCCAUUCAUGUAUAAUAGCUUAAACUUCUAACCCCAACCUCUCAGUCUGUCCCUCCCACAACCCCCUCCCCCUAGGCAACCACAAGUUUUUUUCACUACAUCAAUGAGUCUCUUUCUGAUUCACAGAUAGGUUCUUUUCUGUCAUUUCUUAGAUUCUACAGAUAAGUGAUAUCAUAUAUUUGUCUUUCUCUUGCUGACUCGCUUAAUAUGAGCCCUCUAGUUGUAUCCAUGUUACUGUGAAUGUCAUUCUUUCUUUUUUAUGGCUGAGUAGUAUUCCCUUGUAUAUAUAUUAUACAUCUUUAUGUGAUCUGAAUUUUUUUUUUGUCUUUUUAGGCCCACACUCGAGGCAUAUGGAGGUUCCCAGCCUAGGGGUCCAAUCAGAGCUGUAGCUGCCAGCCUACACCAUAGCCACAGCAACAUGGGAUCCGAGCUGCAUCUGCAACCUACACCACAGGUCACAGCAAUGCCAGAUCCAUAACCCACUGACUGGGGCCAGAGAUCAAAACCGAGUUCUCAUGGAUGCUAGUUGGGUUCGUUAAUCACUGAGCCACGACGUAAACUCCUAUGAUCUGAAUUUUAAAUCAACCAGAUGUGGAGUUCCCGUUGUGGCUCAGCAGAAACAAACCCGACUAGUACCCAUGAGGAUUCAGGUUCAAUCCCUGGCCCUAUCAGUGGGUUCAGGAUCCAGCAUUGCUGAGAGCUGUGGUAUAGGUUGUAGACGUGGCUUGGAUCUGGCGUUGCUGUGGCUGUGGCAUAGGCUGGCAGUUGAAGCUCUAAUUCAACCCCUAACCUGGGAACUUCCAUAUGC